rnacentral:rRNA from 1 species
AUUGAACGCUGGCGGCAUGCUUUACACAUGCAAGUCGAACGGUAACAGGCCUUCGGGUGCUGACGAGUGGCGAACGGGUGAGAAUGCAUCGGAACGUACCCAGAGGUGGGGGAUAACGCAGCGAAAGCUGUGCUAAUACCGCAUGUGAUCUGAGGAUGAAAGCGGGGGACCGGGCAGCCAUGUUUGGCCUCGCGCCUUUGGAGCGGCCGAUGGCGGAUUAGCUAGUUGGUGGGGUAAAGGCCUACCAAGGCGACGAUCCGUAGCUGGUCUGAGAGGACGACCAGCCACACUGGGACUGAGACACGGCCCAGACUCCUACGGGAGGCAGCAGUGGGGAAUUUUGGACAAUGGGCGCAAGCCUGAUCCAGCAAUGCCGCGUGCGGGAAGAAGGCCUUCGGGUUGUAAACCGCUUUUGGCAGGAACGAAACGGUGUCCGCUAAUACCGGGCGCUAAUGACGGUACCUGCAGAAUAAGCACCGGCUAACUACGUG